UACGUAGGGUGCAAGCGUUAAUCGGAAUUACUGGGCGUAAAGCGUGCGCAGGCGGUUGUGUAAGACAGGUGUGAAAUCCCCGGGCUUAACCUGGGAACUGCAUUUGAAACUGGCGGGCUUGAGUGUGGCAGAGGGGGGUGGAAUUCCGCGUGUAGCAGUGAAAUUCGUAGAUAUCGGGAGGAACACCGGUGGCGAAGGCGGCGACCUGGGUCGAGACUGACGCUGAGGCGCGAAAGCGUGGGGAGCAAACAGG
rnacentral:rRNA from 1 species